UAGGGAAUCUACCGCAAUGGACGCAAGUCUGACGGAGCAACGCCGCGUGAGUGAAGAAGGAUUUCGGUUCGUAAAACUCUGUUGUUAGAGAAGUACAGCGCAUAGAGUAACUGUUAUGCGUGUGACGGUAUCUAACCAGAAAGCCACGGCUAACUACGUGCCAGCAGUCGCGGUAAUACGUAGGUGGCAAGCGUUGUCCGGAUUUAUUGGGCGUAAAGCGAGCGCAGGCGGUAAAUUAAGUCUGAUGUGAAAGCCCCCGGCUCAACCGGGGAGGGGCAUUGGAAACUGGUUGACUUGAAUGCAGAGGAGGAGAGUGGAAAUCCAUGUGUAACGGUGAAAUGCGUUAAUAUAUGGAGGAACACCGGUGGCGAAAGCGGCUCUCUGGUCUGUAACUGACGCUGAGGCUCGAAAGCGUGGGGAGCGAACAGG
rnacentral:rRNA from 1 species